rnacentral:piRNA from 1 species
UAAAACGCAAAGGGAAUACAAUACACAGA